rnacentral:rRNA from 1 species
AGGAUGAACGCUGGCGGUCUGCUUAACACAUGCAAGUCGAACGGGCGUAGCAAUACGUUAGUGGCGGACGGGUGAGUAACGCGUGAGAAUCUACCUUCAGGACGGAGACAACAGUUGGAAACGACUGCUAACCCCCGAUGUACUGAAAAGGCAAAUAUUUAUAGCCUGAAGAAGAGCUCGCGUCCGAUUAGCUAGUUGGAGAGGUAAAAGCUCACCAAGGCGACGAUCGGUAGCUGGUCUGAGAGGACGAUCAGCCACACUGGGACUGAGACACGGCCCAGACUCCUACGGGAGGCAGCAGUGGGAAUUUUCCGCAAUGGGCGAAAGCCUGACGGUGCAAGACCGCGUGGGGGAAGAAGGCUCUUGGGUUGUAAACCCCUUUUCUCUGGAAGAAGUUGUGAAGCAGCCUGACGGUACCAGAGGAAUCAGCAUCGGCUAACUCCGUGCCAGCAGCCGC